rnacentral:tRNA from 1 species
GAGGCUAUAGCUCAGUGGUAGAGUGCAUGUCUAGCAUGCAUGAGGUUCAAUCUCUGGUUUCU